rnacentral:rRNA from 1 species
UACGGAGGGUGCGAGCGUUGUCCGGAAUUACUGGGCGUAAAGCGUGCGCAGGCGGUUUUUCAAGACAGAUGUGAAAUCCCCGGGCUCAACCUGGGAACUGCAUUUGUGACUGCAUGGCUAGAGUACGGUAGAGGGGGAUGGAAUUCCGCGUGUAGCAGUGAAAUGCGUAGAUAUGCGGAGGAACACCGAUGGCGAAGGCAAUCCCCUGGACCUGUACUGACGCUCAUGCACGAAAGCGUGGGGAGCAAACAGG